ACGCUCGACACCUACGGGAGCAGCAGUGGGGAAUAUUGCACAAUGGAGGAAACUCUGAUGCAGCGAUGCCGCGUGAGGGAAGAAGGUUUUCGGAUUGUAAACCUCUGUCUUUGGGGACGAUAAUGACGGUACCCAAGGAGGAAGCUCCGGCUAACUACGUGCCAGCAGCCUCGGUAAUCUGAGCGGGCUGGCAAGGC
rnacentral:rRNA from 1 species